rnacentral:rRNA from 1 species
GGGUUGUGAGGUUAAGCGACUAAGCGUACACGGUGGAUGCCCUGGCAGUCAGAGGCGAUGAAGGACGUGCUAAUCUGCGAAAAGCGCCGGCGAGGUGAUAUGAACCUUUGACCCGGCGAUGUCCGAAUGGGGAAACCCAGUGUGAUUCGUCACACUAUCGUUAACUGAAUACAUAGGUUAACGAGGCGAACCGGGGGAACUGAAACAUCUAAGUACCCCGAGGAAAAGAAAUCAACCGAGAUUCCCCCAGUAGCGGCGAGCGAACGGGGAGCAGCCCAGAGUCUGAAUCAGCUUGUGUGUUAGUGGAAGCGUCUGGAAAGUCGCACGGUACAGGGUGACAGUCCCGUACACGAAAGCACACAGGCUGUGAACUCGAAGAGUAGGGCGGGACACGUGGUAUCCUGUCUGAAUAUGGGGGGACCAUCCUCCAAGGCUAAAUACUCCUGACUGACCGAUAGUGAACCAGUACCGUGAGGGAAAGGCGAAAAGAACCCCGGCGAGGGGAGUGAAAAAGAACCUGAAACCGUGUACGUACAAGCAGUGGGAGCCUCUUUUAUGGGGUGACUGCGUACCUUUUGUAUAAUGGGUCAGCGACUUAUAUUCUGUAGCAAGGUUAACCGUAUAGGGGAGCCGAAGGGAAACCGAGUCUUAACUGGGCGUUAAGUUGCAGGGUAUAGACCCGAAACCCGGUGAUCUAGCCAUGGGCAGGUUGAAGGUUGGGUAACACUAACUGGAGGACCGAACCGACUAAUGUUGAAAAAUUAGCGGAUGACUUGUGGCUGGGGGUGAAAGGCCAAUCAAACCGGGAGAUAGCUGGUUCUCCCCGAAAGCUAUUUAGGUAGCGCCUCGUGAACUCAUCUUCGGGGGUAGAGCACUGUUUCGGCUAGGGGGCCAUCCCGGCUUACCAACCCGAUGCAAACUACGAAUACCGAAGAAUGUUAUCACGGGAGACACACGGCGGGUGCUAACGUCCGUCGUGAAGAGGGAAACAACCCAGACCGCCAGCUAAGGUCCCAAAGUCAUGGUUAAGUGGGAAACGAUGUGGGAAGGCACAGACAGCCAGGAUGUUGGCUUAGAAGCAGCCAUCAUUUAAAGAAAGCGUAAUAGCUCACUGGUCGAGUCGGCCUGCGCGGAAGAUGUAACGGGGCUAAACCAUGCACCGAAGCUGCGGCAGCGACACUAUGUGUUGUUGGGUAGGGGAGCGUUCUGUAAGCCGUUGAAGGUGUCCUGUGAGGGGUGCUGGAGGUAUCAGAAGUGCGAAUGCUGACAUAAGUAACGAUAAAGCGGGUGAAAAGCCCGCUCGCCGGAAGACCAAGGGUUCCUGUCCAACGUUAAUCGGGGCAGGGUGAGUCGACCCCUAAGGCGAGGCCGAAAGGCGUAGUCGAUGGGAAACAGGUUAAUAUUCCUGUACUUGGUGUUACUGCGAAGGGGGGACGGAGAAGGCUAUGUUAGCCGGGCGACGGUUGUCCCGGUUUAAGCAUGUAGGCGGAGGUUCCAGGUAAAUCCGGUUCCUUAUUAACGCUGAGGUGUGAUGACGAGGCACUACGGUGCUGAAGUAACAAAUGCCCUGCUUCCAGGAAAAGCCUCUAAGCAUCAGGUAACAUCAAAUCGUACCCCAAACCGACACAGGUGGUCAGGUAGAGAAUACCAAGGCGCUUGAGAGAACUCGGGUGAAGGAACUAGGCAAAAUGGUGCCGUAACUUCGGGAGAAGGCACGCUGAUAUGUAGGUGAAGCCCCUGCGGGUGGAGCUGAAAUCAGUCGAAGAUACCAGCUGGCUGCAACUGUUUAUUAAAAACACAGCACUGUGCAAACACGAAAGUGGACGUAUACGGUGUGACGCCUGCCCGGUGCCGGAAGGUUAAUUGAUGGGGUUAGCGGCAACGCGAAGCUCUUGAUCGAAGCCCCGGUAAACGGCGGCCGUAACUAUAACGGUCCUAAGGUAGCGAAAUUCCUUGUCGGGUAAGUUCCGACCUGCACGAAUGGCGUAAUGAUGGCCAGGCUGUCUCCACCCGAGACUCAGUGAAAUUGAACUCGCUGUGAAGAUGCAGUGUACCCGCGGCAAGACGGAAAGACCCCGUGAACCUUUACUAUAGCUUGACACUGAACACUGGUCCUUGAUGUGUAGGAUAGGUGGGAGGCUUUGAAGCGUGGACGCCAGUCUGCGUGGAGCCAACCUUGAAAUACCACCCUUUAAUGGCUGGUGUUCUAACGUAGACCCGUGAUCCGGGUUGCGGACAGUGUCUGGUGGGUAGUUUGACUGGGGCGGUCUCCUCCCAAAGAGUAACGGAGGAGCACGAAGGUUAGCUAAUCCUGGUCGGACAUCAGGAGGUUAGUGCAAUGGCAUAAGCUAGCUUGACUGCGAGAGUGACGGCUCGAGCAGGUGCGAAAGCAGGUCAUAGUGAUCCGGUGGUUCUGAAUGGAAGGGCCAUCGCUCAACGGAUAAAAGGUACUCCGGGGAUAACAGGCUGAUACCGCCCAAGAGUUCAUAUCGACGGCGGUGUUUGGCACCUCGAUGUCGGCUCAUCACAUCCUGGGGCUGAAGUAGGUCCCAAGGGUAUGGCUGUUCGCCAUUUAAAGUGGUACGCGAGCUGGGUUUAGAACGUCGUGAGACAGUUCGGUCCCUAUCUGCCGUGGGCGCUGGAGAAUUGAGGGGGGCUGCUCCUAGUACGAGAGGACCGGAGUGGACGCAUCACUGGUGUUCGGGUUGUCAUGCCAAUGGCACUGCCCGGUAGCUAAAUGCGGAAGAGAUAAGUGCUGAAAGCAUCUAAGCACGAAACUUGCCCCGAGAUGAGUUCUCCCUGAGACUUUAAGUCUCCUGAAGGAACGUUGAAGACUACGACGUUGAUAGGUCGGGUGUGUAAGCGCAGCGAUGCGUUGAGCUAACCGAUACUAAUGAACCGUGAGGCUUAACCUUACAACGCCGAAG